AUGGGUUUAAUCACACAGUCAGAAUUUACCAAGAUUAAUAAAAUAGUUCCUGCUUGUGAAUUUGCUGUCAAGCUAUGUGGUACCUCUGGCACUGUAUCUUGCUUUGCUGCCUAUUUUGUUUGCAAUACAAUAUUUAGUUCCAUCAGGUUGAUAAUCGGGAACAAAAAUUAUUAUGACGUCAGGAAGCCAUGCAUGGGGAGCCUAUGCUAUGAUUUUUCUAACUUGGAGAAGUUUCUCAAUCUGAAAUCUGUCAGACAGAGCCUAGGAGUUGGAGACAUAGAGUUUGUUUCCUGCAGCCCGACCGUCUAUCAGGCUAUGCUCUUAGAUUGGAUGAGGAACCUUGAAGUUGGGAUCCCUGAACUCCUUGAGAACGACAUCAAAGUGCUGAUUUAUGCUGGAGAGUAUGAUCUCAUAUGCAACUGGCUAGGAAACUCAAGAUGGGUAGACUCUAUGGAAUGGUCUGGAAAGAAAGCCUUCGUGUCCUCGGUGGAGAAACCCUUCACGGUUUAUGGAAAAUAA
rnacentral:rRNA from 1 species